GAUGAACGCUGGCGGCGUGCUUAACACAUGCAAGUCGAACGAAGCAAUUAUGAUUGAGAUUUCGGUUGAUUGAUUAAUUGACUUAGUGGCGGACGGGUGAGUAACGCGUGGGUAACCUGCCUCGUACAGGGGGAUAACAGUUAGAAAUGACUGCUAAUACCGCAUAACCCGCUAAGGUCGCAUGACCUGGACGGAAAAGAUUUAUCGGUACGAGAUGGACCCGCGUCUGAUUAGCUAGUUGGUGUGGUAACGGCUCACCAAGGCGACGAUCAGUAGCCGGCCUGAGAGGGUGAACGGCCACAUUGGGACUGAGACACGGACCAAACUCCUACGGGAGGCAGCAGUGGGGAAUAUGGCACAAUGGGGGAAACCCUGAUGCAGCGACGCCGCGUGAGUGAAGAAGUAUUUCGGUAUGUAAAGCUCUAUCAGCAGGGAAGAAAAUGACGGUACCUGACUAAGAAGCCCCGGCUAACUAUGUGCCAGCAGCCGCAGUAAAAC
rnacentral:rRNA from 1 species